UGGGGAAUCUUGGACAAUGGGGGCAACCCUGAUCCAGCCAUGCCGCGUGAGUGAUGAAGGCCUUAGGGUCGUAAAGCUCUUUCGCCUGUGAAGAUAAUGACGGUAGCAGGUAAAGAAACCCCGGCUAACUCCGUGCCAGCAGCCGCGGUAAUACGGAGGGGGUUAGCGUUGUUCGGAAUUACUGGGCGUAAAGCGCACGUAGGCGGACCAGAAAGUUGGGGGUGAAAUCCCGGGGGCUCAACCCCGGAACUGCCUCCAAAACUAUUGGUCUAGAGUUCGAGAGAGGUGAGUGGAAUUCCAAGUGUAGAGGUGAAAUUCGUAGAUAUUUGGAGGAACACCAGUGGCGAAGGCGGCUCACUGGCUCGAUACUGACGCUGAGGUGCGAAAAGUGUGGGGAGCAAAACAGGAUUAGAUACCCCUGGUAGUCCACACCGUAAAACGAUGAAAUGCCAGUCGUCGGGGUAGCAUGCUAUUCGGUGACACACCUAACGGAUUAAGCAUUCC
rnacentral:rRNA from 1 species